AGAUGCCGUGUGAUGCAGCCCUCUAUCCCCAGCGCUGUGAAGAGGAGACUGCCAACCCAAGGAUGGUACUGGGUUGGACUGGUCUGCUUGUGUGGAAGAAGAGCAGACCGUCACCUGCGGGCCGCAGUUCUGUGAUGGACUGCAAUCAAUCCCUGACGUGCAGCCGCCGAAGAGGAGGUUCAUGCUGACCCGGACGGAUCCCAACCGCAGUCAAGUAGAGAAGAGGAGGAUGCACAACAAGCAGCAGAGCCCAGCACAGCCCAGCGGAGCCCAGCCGAGCCCAG